AUACGGAGGACGCGAGCGUUAUCCGGAUUCAUUGGGUUUAAAGGGUGCGCAGGCGGCCGUGCAAGUCAGCGGUGAAAGCCCGGGGCUCAACCCCGGAAGUGCCGUUGAUACUGCAUGGCUGGAAUGCGGUCGAGGCGGGCGGGACGUGGCGGGUAGGGGGGAAAUGCGUAGAGAUGCCACAGAACGCCGAUAGCGGAGGCAGCUCGCCAGGCCUGCAUUGACGCUCGGGCACGAAAGCGUGGGGAUCGAACAGGAUUAGAUACCCUGGUAGUCCACGCCGUAAACGAUGGGCGCUCGUCGUCGGCGACAGACAGUCGGCGGCCAAGCGAAAGCGAUAAGCGCCCCACCUGGGGAGUACGGUCGCAAGGCUGAAACUCAAAUGAAUUGACGGGG
rnacentral:rRNA from 1 species